ACCUUUUAGCUUGCUAGAAGGGAAAGUGGCGCACGGGUGCGUAACGCGUAUGCAACCUACCUUAAUCAGGGGGAUAGCCCGAAGAAAUUCGGAUUAACACCGCAUAAAAUCACAGUACAGCAUUGUACAAUGAUCAAAUAUUUAUAGGAUUAAGAUGGGCAUGCGUGACAUUAGUUAGUUGGCGGGGUAACGGCCCACCAAGACCACGAUGUCUAGGGGAUCUGAGAGGAUGACCCCCCACACUGGUACUGAGACACGGACCAGACUCCUACGGGAGGCAGCAGUAAGGAAUAUUGGUCAAUGGAGGCAACUCUGAACCAGCCAUGCCGCGUGCAGGAAGACAGCCCUCUGGGUCGUAAACUGCUUUUAUUCGGGAAUAAACCUACUUACGUGUAAGUAGCUGAAUGUACCGAAGGAAUAAGGAUCGGCUAACUCCGUGCCAGCAGCCGCGGUAAUACGGAGGAUCCAAGCGUUAUCCGGAUUUAUUGGGUUUAAAGGGUGCGUAGGCGGCUUUUUAAGUCAGGGGUGAAAGACGGUGGCUCAACCAUCGCAGUGCCCUUGAUACUGAAGAGCUUGAAUACAUUAGAGGUAGGCGGAAUGUGACAAGUAGCGGUGAAAUGCAUAGAUAUGUCACAGAACACCGAUUGCGAAGGCAGCUUACUAUGAUGUUAUUGACGCUGAGGCACGAAAGCGUGGGGAUCAAACAGGAUUAGAUACCC
rnacentral:rRNA from 1 species